GACGAACGCUGGCGGCGUGCUUAACACAUGCAAGUCGAACGGAAAGGCCCUGCUUGCAGGGUACUCGAGUGGCGAACGGGUGAGUAACACGUGGGUGAUCUGCCCUGCACUUCGGGAUAAGCCUGGGAAACUGGGUCUAAUACCGGAUAGGAGCCAUUUUUAGUGUGAUGGUUGGAAAGUUUUUUCGGUGUAGGAUGAGCUCGCGGCCUAUCAGCUUGGUGGUGGGGUAAUGGCCUACCAAGGCGGCGGCGGGUAGCCGGCCUGAGAGGGUGGACGGCCACAUUGGGACUGAGGUACGGCCCAGACUCCUACGGGAGGCAGCAGGGGGGAAUAUUGCACAAUGGGCGCAAGCCUGAUGCAGCGACGCCGCGUGGGGGAUGACGGCCUUCGGGUUGGAAACUCCUUUCGCUAGGGACGAAGCUUUUUGUGACGGUACCUAGAGAAGAAGCACCGGCUAACUACGUG
rnacentral:rRNA from 1 species